GAUGAAGAACGCAGCGAAAUGCGAUAAGUAAUGUGAAUUGUAGAAUCCAGUGAAUCAUCGAAUCUUUGAACGCACAUUGCGCCCGCCAGCAUUCUGGCGGGCAUGCCUGUUCGAGCGUCAUUUCAACCCUCGACCUCCCUUUGGGGAAGUCGGCGUUGGGGACCGGCAGCACACCGCCGGCCCUGAAAUGGAGUGGCGGCCCGUCCGCGGCGACCUCUGCGUAGUAAACCAACUCGCACCGGAACCCCGACGUGGCCACGCCGUAAAACACCCAACUUCUGAACGUUGACCUCGAAUCAGGUAGGACUACCCGCUGAACUUAAGCAUAUCAAUAAGCGGAGGA
rnacentral:misc_RNA from 1 species